rnacentral:rRNA from 1 species
UACGAAGGGGGCUAGCGUUGUUCGGAAUUACUGGGCGUAAAGCGCACGUAGGCGGACUACUAAGUCAGGGUGAAUCCCGGGGCGUCAACCCCGGAACUGCCUUUGAUACUGAGAGUCUCGAGUCCGGAAGAGGUGAGUGGAAUUCCCGAGUGUAGAGGUGAAAUUCGUAGAUAUCUGGAGGAACACCGGUGGCGAAGGCGGCCAACUGGACGAAUACUGACGCUGAGACUCGAAAGCGUGGGGAGCAAACAGG